rnacentral:lncRNA from 1 species
CGUUGUGUGUUAUAAAGAGGCUGGCUGACUCGAUCUUAUUAUUACAACUUACAUCUGCAUGUAGCUUGAAUAUACGUGCAUGCCAAGAAACACUACUGCAAAGACUACAGAAGAAGACAUCAAUACUUAAAAUUCAUUCUGCAAACGAUGGUGAUGUGUUCUCGUCCGCCCGGAAGAACUCACCGGGGCCGCCUCCUUCUACUACUACUUGCUGCCAUCUUCAUACUUGCUUCCGGGAGCGGACCACGCGUGAGUCCAUUAUUCUUAUUUCAUCAUGCUUUCAUUAGGAAAUAGUAAUUGCAUAUAUAGCAUAUAUACACGCCUGAAGAGUAGUUGACACCGUCCGGACACACUAUGGUUUAUGGCUUUAUGCACCACAGUAACACUGCACAGCCAUUGGCGGACGCACAUAGCCCCUGUUUGUUUCAGCUUUUCGCAGCUUCUGGCCACUAAAAGCUGCUGCGGACUACCAAACACUCAACUUUUUAGUCAGCUUUCUAUAAAAUUUGUUUGGGUAGAAACUAUUCAAAAUCAACAUAAACAUAUAAUCGGUGAGUCGUUGCAAUAGUAGUAAUCCGUCACUUUAUAAAUCCUGAGCCCUAUAGAUAACUUUAUUUUCCUCCGCACGUAAUUCUAAUGAUACUCAGAUUCUCUACACAGCCAGAUUCUCCCCACAGCUAGAUUCUUGGAAAACCUGGUUAGAAAAAAGUUGAAACAAACAGACCCAUAGGGUUCUUUGUGGGCCGUGGCACACCCUAAGCCACAACACAACCCACCAAGACCCCGUCUCGUCCCAGUAUCUCCUUCCCAGUUCCCUUUUGGCCUUCGCGACUCCAGCGUCACGUCGCCGCCGCCGCGUCCUCGACGGCAGGAUGUCGCCGCCGCUACCAGCCUGCCACACGCCUGGUAUCCACGCUCCACUCCUCCACGCACCACGCGCAGGCACGUAGCCCGUUUCGUGCCCAGCGUCCAGCACCCCGUGUCCACAGCCGCACGUCCAAUCGUCCUACGUUUAUUAAUUUUUCACUACAGUUGUGUUUUUUGUAUUUUUUACCGGUGAAGAGCUGUUUUCAGCCGAUUUUUCAAUUUCUGAUCUUUUCAUUUAUGCCGUUCCCUGUCAUGUCGUGGAUCAUAUAUAUAUAUAGACACACGCAUCCGUGUCUAAAGUUUUAUUGUGCUGGAUUAGUAGUAUAUAUACAGAUUACAAUAGAAAUUUAGUCUUAAUUGUGAUUACUUAAAGGAGCAACAUUGAUUUGUCUUUAAUAGAGCAGGGUUGAUUAUAUAGAAUUGUAUAUUAAAAAUUUACUACACCAUUGACACACUCUAUAUAAAAAUCUAGGUCCGCCAGCUUACAAUCCAAUGCACAUUAUUUUUAAUGAUUUUGUAUAUUGAUAUGCUAUGGCAGUGACUUAAGGAAACCUUGAUUUUAAUUUUUUAAACACCUAGCAUUAAUGCCACGUAACAGAUCCUACUUUUCUUUUUGCAGAGCUCGGUUACUACAGCUCGUCCUCCUCCGGUAUAUCGCUGGCCUCCAUGAAAUUUGAUAUGCACAUGCUACACACUACUGGAGAAAGUGCAAUAUGUACUAGUUAGCAAUGCAACUGGCUACAGUACCAACGAUGUGGAUAUCUAUAACUAAAAACCCAAAUCAUUAGUCCGAGUUGUAUAGAUCAUAUACUAAAUAGUGAACUUUAGUACUUGUUUUUGGCUUGAAUAUGUACUAAAGGAUCCGUUUUUAGUACCAGUUCUAUUAGAAAAUAGUAAUUACAUGUAUAGAGUAGUUGGCACCGACCGAUCGUAAUUCACUAUGAAAUAGUAAUUGCCCAGCUUACAAUAGAAUGCACAUUUUGUUUAAUAAUUUGACCUGUUAGGCUAGCUUCAGCGAAGCGCGUAAAUGGAUGUGCAUGUGUAUUUUUGUUUGUAUUCAACUAUGUACUCUUCCAGGAGAGCGCGGAUGAGGAGGAUAUGAAAAAUGUGGACACCCAGCCUCCUCGUAUAUCAGAUCCAUGAUUUCUCUCUCAUUGGCAGGUUUAUAUACGCAUCCGUAUUCGCGCUCUGCUGGAAACGCCCUCACUUGUACUGUG